UACGGGGGGGGCAAGCGUUGUUCGGAAUUACUGGGCGUAAAGGGCUUGUAGGUGGCCAACUAAGUCAGACGUGAAAUCCCUCGGCUUAACCGGGGAACCGCGUCUGAUACUGGAUGGCUCGAGUGUGGGAGAGGGAUGCGGAAUUCCAGGUGUAGCGGUGAAAUGCGUAGAUAUCUGGAGGAACACCGGUGGCGAAGGCGGCAUCCUGGACCAUAACUGACACUGAUAAGCGAAAGCCAGGGGAGCAAACGGG
rnacentral:rRNA from 1 species